CUACGGAGGGUGCAAGCGUUAAUCGGAAUUACUGGGCGUAAAGCGUACGUAGGCGGUUCGUUAAGUUAGAUGUGAAAGCCCCGGGCUUAACCUGGGAACUGCAUUUAAAACUGGCGAACUAGAGUUGAGUAGAGGGGAGUGGAAUUUCAGGUGUAGCGGUGAAAUGCGUAGAGAUCUGAAGGAACACCAGUGGCGAAGGCGACUCCCUGGACUCGAACUGACGCUGAGGUACGAAAGCGUGGGUAGCAAACGGGAUUAGAAACCCUAGUAGUCC
rnacentral:rRNA from 1 species